ACCAGUAUGGUGUAAUGAUGCACGCGGGAUUUUCUUGUGUAUCAAGCUGAAGUGUAAUCCCCGAGGUCCUUGUUCGAAUCAAGGUAUUGCUC